rnacentral:tRNA from 1 species
GGAGGGAUCGCAUAGUGGUCGAGUGCGCUCGCUUGGAAAGCGAGUAUACCGAGAGGUAUCGAGGGUUCGAAUCCCUCUCCCUCCG